rnacentral:lncRNA from 1 species
CCCGAGCCUGGAUGCUUCCCUGCCAUCCCUGUUGGCAGGAGGCUCCUGCCAAAGCCACCCUUGGUGGUCCUGCC